UACGAGAGCCUCGAGCGUUAUCCGGAAUUAUUGGGCGUAAAGGGUGCGUAGGUUGUUUUGUUAGUCUUUUGUUAAAUCCUGGGGCUUAACUUCAGGGUCGCAAAAGAUACGGCAAAACUAGAAAGUGUGAGAGGUGUACGGAACUCAUGGUGUAGGGGUGAAAUCCGUUGAUAUCAUGGGGAACACCAAAAGCGAAAGCAGUACACUGGCGCAUAUUUGACACUGAAGCACGAAAGCGUGGGUAGCGAAU
rnacentral:rRNA from 1 species